rnacentral:rRNA from 1 species
UGAGGAAUAUUGCACAAUGGGCGCAAGCCUGAUGCAGUGACGCCGCGUGUGGGAUGAAGGGGCUACGCCUCGUAAACCACUGUAGCACGGGACGAAAAACGCCUUAGAGGCGUUAGACGGUACCGGGAAAGUAAGGGUCGGCUAACUACGUGCCAGCAGCCGCGGUAAUACGUAGGAACCAAGCGUUGUCCGGAUUUACUGGGUGUAAAGGGUGCGCAGGCGGAUGGGUAAGUCAGGGGUGAAAGUCUGCAGAUUAACUGUAGAAUGGCCUUUGAUACUGCGCAGCUUGAGUGUGGGAGAUGUGGUUGUAAUUCCAGUUGUAGCAGUGAAAUGGGUAGAUAUCUGGAAGAACACCAGUGGGGAAGGCGGUCAACUGGCCCAUAACUGACGCUCAUGCACGAAAGCGUGGGGAGCAAACA